rnacentral:rRNA from 1 species
UACGAGGGGGGCAAGCGUUGUUCGGAAUUAUUGGGCGUAAAGGGUGCGUAGGCGGCCCUGUAAGUAUGGUGUAAAAUCUCCCGGCUUAACUGGGAGGGUGCGCUAUAGACUGCGGGGCUCGAGUGUGGGAGAGGAAAGUGGAAUUCCUGGUGUAGCGGUGAAAUGCGUAGAUAUCAGGAGGAACACCGGUGGUGUAAACGGCUUUCUGGACCAUAACUGACGCUGAGGCACGAAAGCGUGGGUAGCAAACAGG